rnacentral:ncRNA from 2 species
UUACAAGUUAUGAUGAGGACAUGAGUGUAUAUUUACGGUUUGUAGAGAGGGAGAUCCAGGCUGAAAAUCUCCUAACACGGAAUAUAUUCUUACCACCUCUAAACUUCAGUAGUAAACGAGCAGAGCCUCUAGUAAUUACUGACGGAAUUUCCGUUAUAAAACCUCGAGCCGCUUCGGGUUCUUUGGGUUAUCCAAGAUACGAAGAGGAAACAAGGGUGGUACCGCGUGUAUACACAACUCGUCCCUUUU